rnacentral:rRNA from 1 species
GACGAACGCUGGCGGCGUGCUUAACACAUGCAAGUCGAACGGAAAGGCCCUGCUUUUGUGGGGUGCUCGAGUGGCGAACGGGUGAGUAACACGUGAGUAACCUGUCCUUGACUUUGAGAUAACUUCAGGAAACUGGGGCUAAUACCGGAUAGGAGCUCCUGCUGCAUGGUGGGGGUUGGAAAGUUUCGGCGGUUGGGGAUGGACUCGCGGCUUAUCAGCUUGUUGGUGGGGUAGUGGCUUACCAAGGCUUUGACGGGUAGCCGGCCUGAGAGGGUGACCGGCCACAUUGGGACUGAGAUACGGCCCAGACUCCUACGGGAGGCAGCAGUGGGGAAUAUUGCACAAUGGGCGGAAGCCUGAUGCAGCAACGCCGCGUGCGGGAUGACGGCCUUCGGGUUGUAAACCGCUUUCGCCUGUGACGAAGCGUGAGUGACGGUAAUGGGUAAAGAAGCACCGGCUAACUACGUG